CACUUGCAACGACUGGCUUCUGUCUUUGGUACAUAAGCACUAGAACAGAAGAAACACAGCGACCAUUAGGCUAAACAGGAGGGAUCUACAACAUUUAUGCUGAAAAAAGAGACUCAGCAUUUUAAGAUAUUACAGGGGUGGAGCCAUGGAGAGUAAAGGUUUCAUAAACUAAUGGAAGUGACUGGAAGAGGAAUGGAGCCCAUAAAUAAAGCAAUACUUCUGAACUAGAUAGAUGUUUCCAUACUGAGCCCUUAAAUAAGUAAUUUUGAAAUCAAAUUUUCAUGGAUUAUGAGUAAGUUUUAGAGAAAAGAAAUGUUCUUAGUGCCUUGUCAGGGAGUAAGAGCUGAAAGUCAAAGAAGAUUCACUGAAGAAUGUCUCUGCUCUUUCAUCCCUAAGUUCCUUCAGGCUUCUAAUAGGAAAAAACCAAAGGGAAACAAACAAAAAAAAAAAGCCAGAAUGUAAUUAAUUCAAAUUUAUAAGCACAGAGAACCAUAUUAAUGUUCUCUGAGACAAUAAGAAACUCUGUUGCAGAUGCUACCUAUAUGUACAGCCCUCAAACCACUGCCAAAAAAAACUUAUUUCACGUCUCUGGUGACUUCUGAAUGCCAUUUGAUGCCGCAACUAUUAAAGAGUUGCUUCCACACUAUCAUGGUGCCUGAAUCCUUUGUAGUACUCUUCUCCCUUCCUACCAGGAAAUCUGCCCUCAAGCUCCACCAGGUGUUAUUAGCAGCUCUCCUCCUCAAAGUUUUAAUGUAAAGAGUGAGCUUUUCAUGCUUCUGUCUGGCUUGUACUGAACCAGAAAAAAGCCAAUAGAAUUACUAGGUCGUAAACUGAAUCACAUGGCUGAAUGCUUGUCUGGCUGAGAGCCAAACCAUGCCUUGGUUUGUUAAAUGUUUAAGCUUUUAAGACAUUAAGUUCUUUCUUUAAAGUUUUGUAUUUAUCUAAAGCAGUUUUCUCAGCAAUAGAACUGGGUAUUCUUUAAAUAUGAUUUCUGUUUGGUUACUUUCCUUUCACCUCUCUCCCACCAAGAACUACAGCUUUUCUUGGUUUUGUUGUGCAGUGGUGACAUUCUUGUGGAGUACUAUCCUACAUGGCUUAUGCUGCUUGUAUCAGAGAAGUGUUAACCUUCAAAAGAGUACUCUCAGUAAUCAGCAUGGCAGGAGAUUCUCUUAGUUUAAUCACAUUUUGCAUUUAUAUGUUCUUUGUUUGCUAAAGUAACUGUUGAUUUGCAUUGGCAGUACUUCUUUCUCCUGUAUGCUCCUGAUAAUUGGCAUUUAUGCUAGAGAGUGAAGUUUGCAAUGCCUGUUUGAAAAUUUUGCUGAAAGGUCACAGAGUCAUUGCUAUUCCACUCAAUACCUUAAACAUCAGAACAUGAAAUGCAAGAGGUUAAAUAUUUUCUUUUGACCUUUAUUCUUUUUGCAAAGUGUGCUUGAGGCCCAGAGCUCAGACUAUUGCCUUGUGAAGAUGUGCCCUGUCCUUGGCUAUAGACCUUAUAUUUGCCAGGUGGCAAAAUCCAGCCAGAAAAGAAA